rnacentral:rRNA from 1 species
AUUGAACGCUGGCGGCAUGCUUUACACAUGCAAGUCGAACGGUAACAGGCCGCAAGGUGCUGACGAGUGGCGAACGGGUGAGUAAUGCAUCGGAACGUGCCCAGUCGUGGGGGAUAACGCAGCGAAAGCUGUGCUAAUACCGCAUACGAUCUAUGGAUGAAAGCGGGGGACCGUAAGGCCUCGCCCGAUUGGAGCGGCCGAUGUCAGAUUAGGGAGUUGGUGGGGUAAAGGCCUACCAAGCCGACGCUCUGUAGCGGGUCUGAGGGGACGACCAGCCACACUGGGACUGGGACACGGCCCAGACUCCUACGGGAGGCAGCAGUGGGGAAUUUUGGACAAUGGGCGCAAGCCUGAUCCAGCAAUGCCGCGUGCAGAAAGAAGGCCUUCGGGUUGUAACCUGCUUUUGUACGGAACGAAACGGUCUGGGUUAAUACCCUGGGCUAAUGACGGUACCGUAAGAAUAAGCACCGGCUAACUACGUGCCAGCCGCCGCCGUAACAC